GACGAACGCUGGCGGCGUGCUUAACACAUGCAAGUCGAGCGGAAAGGCACUGCGGGGGACUCGAGCGGCGAACGGGCGAGUAACAGGUGAGUAAUCUGCCCCUCACUCAGGGAUAACCGCGAGCAGCUGCGGCUAAUACUUGAUAUGGCAACGUCUCGCAAGGGGUGUGGUGGGAAGCGUCUAGUGGUGAGGGAUGUGCUCGCGGCCUAUCAGGUUGUUGGGGGGGUAGUGGCUCACCAAGGCUUCGACGGGUAGCCGGCCUGGGAGGGGGACCAGCCACACUGGGACUGAGACACGGCCCAGUCUCCUACGGGAGGCAGCGGGGGGGAAUAUUGGACAAUGGGCGAAAGCCUGAUCCAGCAACGCCGCGGGAGGGAUGACGGCCCUCGGGUUGUAAACCUCUUUCACCUCUGACGAAGCGCAAGUGACGGUAAGGGGAGAAGAAGGACCGGCCAACUACGUGCCAGCAGCCGCGGUAAGAC
rnacentral:rRNA from 1 species